GCUAGCAUGGUUAGUGGUUUAAAUGUUGGACUACGACUCUGGAGACCAGGGUUCGAUUCCCGGCUCGGACA
rnacentral:tRNA from 1 species